ensembl:lncRNA
AAAGAGGGCGUGGUCCUCCAGGUGGCCAUGAGCUCCCGACAAGCUAUGGUUCCACCUGGUCCCAGCUUUCAAGCAUAAUCUUGAUGAUGCACAAGCAUGCAUCUCCUAGGCUGCAGCACUGGCCAUGGGACAACCAGCCCGCGAACCAAGAGCAGCCAGCAGGGCCAGCAGCAUCAAAGGCCACUCUCGACCAGAAGGAUGGAGCUGUCCUGGGCCGCAAGUCCCCCACUGCUCCUAGUUGUGUCAACGAGGGCCCUGCAUGCUGUCCUUCCAAGGACGCCUUUUCCAGAAUAUCAGCCAUGCGUGGUGGUGUGCACCUGUAAUCCCAGCACUCAGGAGGCUGAGGCAGGAGGAUUGCCAUGAGCUUGGGCCCAGCCUGCCCUAAACAGUGAG